rnacentral:lncRNA from 1 species
UCCAAAUAUUAGGGAAGUUUUUUGAUUUUAUAAUUCUAUUAAGUUUAGCCUGCAGUUCUUCCGUUGGAUCUGAUCUUAGGCAUUCCGAAUCUGACUGUGCUAUAAACGUUAGUAACUGCUUAUCAUAUUCGUCUUUCUUAAUAAUAACCAUCUUCUUUGAUCUAUCAUCGUUUGUACAUAAGAGAUUCAUCAUUCAUCCAUGUUCUUGCAUAUUCAAUUUGCACUCUAUUUUUUACUUACUUAAUUUUACAGUUUUUAUCCUUACUCAUGACGAAUUCCCACCUAACUUUUUCUCUGUCUCAUCAAAUUCAUAUAGAAGGUGAUCUACUUGUGCCAUAUCACAGAUAGAGGGUAAUGUGUCAGGUACCAUCAUUGGUCCUUUAAGAAUUAAAUCCUGGACUUGUUCUGGGAGGCAUAUAUCCUCUAUUACAACAAGUAUAUCUUGUAAUGUAAGCUUCUGUUCAUGUCUUCUUUUGUCUUGCUUAAACAGAAUCCAUUUCAUCAUCUUCACAUAUCUUUUCCUUUGAUUGGUUCUGUAAGAGUUAAUAGAGACGUGUAUACAUUGAAAUUCAUAUUCUACUCUUGUUCCAUACUUCGUGCACAUGUUGCAUUCAUAUGUGCGGAGUUUUCGCUUAGUAUGGAACAUGUCUCUUCUUGCAUCAUUAUAUGUGUACUUCAAACAUCUAUUCUUAAUCUGCUGUUCUAUCAUUCUUAAUUUUAUAAGUAGUCGUAUUCUAUAUAUAGACAUAGGGAAUACUUGAUUGAGUCUAUAUUGAUGGAGGAAUAUAACCAAUUCAUCAGUUUUUACAAAUUUUCGACUAAGUCGCAUAAAAUGUUUUUCUUAGCGGUUCAUUACUGGCUCAGCAUAUUUUACCAAUAAACUAAAGCAGCACAACUUGUUUAUAACUUCUAUUAUUGAAAAAACCAAGCACUUUCAGCAAGUAUGACAACGAUUCAAGUCCCU